rnacentral:rRNA from 1 species
AUGAAAAAUGCCAUUCACUUGGUGACUAAUCAUUUCACACACUUGUUUACGGCCAGGGCAGGAGCUGGAGCUAACCACAACAGAGUGUUACAAGAUGUGGAGCCACGAGUUACAGAACAGAUGAACGAGAUGUUAGGUAAGGAGUACACUCCGGAGGAAAUCAAGAAAGCACUUGACGAUAUGGGGGAUCUCAAAGCCCCAGGUGCGGAUGGUAUGCCAGUGAUUUUCUAUAAGAGAUUAUGGACUACUGUGGGUGAUGCGGUUACACAAGAGGUGUUACAUGUGUUGCGAGGCGGCUGUAUACCGGAGGGAUGGAACGAAGCAAUUGUUGUGCUUAUCCCAAAGGUUCGGAACCCUGAUCGAAUCAAAGAUCUUUGCCCUAUUAGCCUUUGCAAUGUGGUGUACAAACUUGUGUCAAAAGUUAUCGCCAACCGACUCAAGAUGAUCUUGGAUGAAAUUAUCUCUGACAACCAGAGUGCGUUUGUGCCGGGAUGGUUGAUAUCGGAUAAUACUAUUCUUGCCUAUGAGAUGACCCAAUUCAUGAAAAGGAAAAGGAAGGGCAAGGAUGUUUACAUGGCACUCAAGUUGGAUAUGAGCAAAGCAUACGAUCGUGUUGAGUGGUUUUUCCUCGAAGGGAUGAUGAGGAAGAUGGGGUUCAGGGAGGAGUUUGUGCAGCUGAUCAUGAAGUGUGUGAGUUCGGUGUCAUAUAGAUUCAAAGUGAACGGCACGCUCACAGAUGUUGUGGUUCCAGGCAGGGGGCUAAGGUAG